CCUACGGGAGGCAGCAGUGGGGAAUAUUGGACAAUGGGCGAAAGCCUGAUCCAGCCAUGCCGCGUGUGUGAAGAAGGCCUUCGGGUUGUAAAGCACUUUCAGUGGGGAAGAAAGCCUUGGGGCUAAUACCCUCGAGGAAGGACAUCACCCACAGAAGAAGCACCGGCUAACUCCGUGCCAGCAGCCGCGGUAAUACGGAGGGUGCGAGCGUUAAUCGGAAUUACUGGGCGUAAAGCGCGCGUAGGCGGUCUGAUAAGCCGGUUGUGAAAGCCCCGGGCUCAACCUGGGAACGGCAUCCGGAACUGUCAGGCUAGAGUGCAGGAGAGGAAGGUAGAAUUCCCGGUGUAGCGGUGAAAUGCGUAGAGAUCGGGAGGAAUACCAGUGGCGAAGGCGGCCUUCUGGACUGACACUGACGCUGAGGUGCGAAAGCGUAGGUAGCAAACAGGAUUAGAUACCCCAGUAGUC
rnacentral:rRNA from 1 species